rnacentral:rRNA from 1 species
UACCAGCACCCCGAGUGGUCGGGACGAUUAUUGGGCCUAAAGCAUCCGUAGCCGGUCCUACAAGUCUUCCGUUAUAUCCACCUGCUUAACAGAUGGGCUGCGGAAGAUACUAUAGGGCUAGGAGGCGGGAGAGGCAAGCGGUACUCAGUGGGUAGGGGUAAAAUCCUCUGAUCCAUUGAAGACCACCAGUGGCGAAGGCGGCUUGCCAGAACGCGCUCGACGGUGAGGGAUGAAAGCUGGGGGAGCAAACCGG